rnacentral:snRNA from 1 species
GUGCUCACUUUGACAGCACAUACACUAAAAUGGGAAUGAUAUAGAGAAGUUUAGCAAGGCCCCUGCACAAGAAUGACAUGCAAAUUUGUGAAGCGUUCCAUUUAAAA